CACAAAAUAUAUGAAUUAAAAUAAUGAUAAGUGCUAUGAAUAAGAUAUUAGUUUAUGCAUUAUUUAGCACUUAUCACACCCCCAACCUACAUUUUGCUAGUCUUCGAGCAAAAUAAAAACUAAUUCACUUUCGCAGGAAUCGCGAUUGCAUUUACCGUAUGCAAUAAGGCUUUAAACCCCUAGGUGGCCCUAGUGGACGAGUUUUGUCUCGUGAGGGUUUCCAGCUCAGAUACCCACAAACUGCUGUCUAAAGAAUUUAUCUAAUUUCAAAUGCAUUAAUGCCAAGAAUUUCAAAAGCACACAAAGUUUUAAUUACUAAGUCAGCCUAAAUUCUAGGUCAGUAUGCAACUUAAGUUGAAGUUAUUAAAUUUCUGUUAGAGAGUUGCAAGACUAAUUUAUACUUGGGUGCUCGGUGAAAUCUGGACCAUACACAAGCUAAGAUUUUAGAUUCCCCAAAAUACUGCUAAAGCUAGUAUUUUCCAAGAAUUGGUCAGAUAAGACCUAAUCACUGAUUCAAAAUCAUCCUAACUUGCAGAAUUUCGAGAGUUGUGGAUGUUUACUUUAAUACCUCAUGGGCUUUAUCUGUAAUAUUCCAGUUUACUCGAAUUUUUACAACGACGGCUUUCACACUAUCAUCUUUUUCAAGGUUAAUAUUAUUUUCUCUUUCUUUUUUUUUUUCAAUUUUUUUUUCAAUUUUAUAAAUUAUGCACUUUUACUCUUGUAAUGAUUCCUCCGUAUAGCGAGCAUUCAGUCAACAACUCCC
rnacentral:lncRNA from 1 species